rnacentral:rRNA from 1 species
CCUACGGGAGGCAGCAGUGAGGAAUAUUGGUCAAUGGCCGGAAGGCUGAACCAGCCAAGCCGCGUGAAGGACGAAGGUGCCAAGCAUUGUAAACUUCUUUUGUCAAGGGACAAAAUCAGGCUCGAGAGCCUGACCGAGGGUACUUGAAGCAAAAGCAUCGCCUAACUCCGUUCCAGCAGCCGCGGUAAUACGGAGUAUGCGUGCGUUAUCCGGAUUUAUUGGGUUAAUGGGGUGCGUGGGUGGGCUGUUAAGUCAGCGGUAAAAGCCCGGGGCUAAACCCCGGCGAGCCGUUGAAACUGGCUGUCUUGAGAUGUCGAGAGGUAUGCGGAAUGCGCAGUGUAGCGGUGAAAUGCUUAGAUAUUGCGAAGAACUCCGAUGGCGAAGGCAGCAUACCGGCGGCGAUCUGACGCUGAGGCACGAAAGCGUGGGUAUCGAACAGGAUUAGAUACCCUUGUAGUC